rnacentral:rRNA from 1 species
CGAUGAAGCCCUUCGGGGUGGAUUAGUGGCGAACGGGUGAGUAACACGUGGGCAAUCUGCCCUUCACUCUGGGACAAGCCCUGGAAACGGGGUCUAAUACCGGAUACCACUCUCCUCCGCAUGGGGGAGGGUUGAAAGCUCCGGCGGUGAAGGAUGAGCCCGCGGCCUAUCAGCUUGUUGGUGGGGUGAUGGCCCACCAAGGCGACGACGGGUAGCCGGCCUGAGAGGGCGACCGGCCACACUGGGACUGAGACACGGCCCAGACUCCUACGGGAGGCAGCAGUGGGGAAUAUUGCACAAUGGGCGAAAGCCUGAUGCAGCGACGCCGCGUGAGGGAUGACGGCCUUCGGGUUGUAAACCUCUUUCAGCAGGGAAGAAGCGAAAGUGACGGUACCUGCAGAAGAAGCGCCGGCUAACUACGUGCCAGCAGCCGCGGUAAUACGUAGGGCGCAAGCGUUGUCCGGAAUUAUUGGGCGUAAAGAGCUCGUAGGCGGCUUGUCACGUCGGAUGUGAAAGCCCGGGGCUUAACCCCGGGUCUGCAUUCGAUACGGGCAGGCUAGAGUGUGGUAGGGGAGAUCGGAAUUCCUGGUGUAGCGGUGAAAUGCGCAGAUAUCAGGAGGAACACCGGUGGCGAAGGCGGAUCUCUGGGCCAUUACUGACGCUGAGGAGCGAAAGCGUGGGGAGCGAACAGGAUUAGAUACCCUGGUAGUCCACGCCGUAAACGUUGGGAACUAGGUGUUGGCGACAUUCCACGUCGUCGGUGCCGCAGCUAACGC